UACGUAGGGUGCAAGCGUUGUCCGGAAUUAUUGGGCGUAAAGAGCUCGUAGGCGGUUUGUUGCGUCGGCUGUGAAAUCCCGAGGCUCAACCUCGGGUCUGCAGUCGAUACGAGCAAACUAGAGUGUUGCAGGGGAGACUGGAAUUCCUGGUGUAGCGGUGAAAUGCGUAGAGAUGUGGAGGAACACCAAUGGCGAAGGCAGCCUUCUGGGCCAACACUGACGCUCAUGCACGAAAGCGUGGGGAGCAAACAGG
rnacentral:rRNA from 1 species